AGCGGCGGACGGGUGAGUAACACGUGGGUAACCUGCCCAAGAGACUGGGAUAACACCUGGAAACAGAUGCUAAUACCGGAUAACAACACUAGACGCAUGUCUAGAGUUUGAAAGAUGGUUCUGCUAUCACUCUUGGAUGGACCUGCGGUGCAUUAGCUAGUUGGUAAGGUAACGGCUUACCAAGGCAAUGAUGCAUAGCCGAGUUGAGAGACUGAUCGGCCACAUUGGGACUGAGACACGGCCCAAACUCCUACGAGAGGCAGCAGUAGGGAAUCUUCCACAAUGGACGAAAGUCUGAUGGAGCAACGCCGCGUGAGUGAAGAAGGGUUUCGGCUCGUAAAGCUCUGUUGGUAGUGAAGUAAGAUAGAGGUAGUAACUGGCCUUUAUUUGACGGUAAUUACUUAGAAAGUCACGGUUAACUACGUGCCAGCAGCCGCGGUAAUACGUAGGUGGCAAGCGUUGUCCGGAUUUAUUGGGCGUAAAGCGAGUGCAGGCGGUUCAAUAAGUCUGAUGUGAAAGCCUUCGACUCAACCGGAGAAUUGCAUCAGAAACUGUUGAACUUGAGUGCAGAAGAGGAGAGUGGAACUCCAUGUGUAGCGGUGGAAUGCGUAGAUAUAUGGAAGAACACCAGUGGCGAAGGCGGCUCUCUGGUCUGCAACUGACGCUGAGGCUCGAAAGCAUGGGUAGCGAACAGGAUUAGAUACCCUGGUAGUCCAUGCCGUAAACGAUGAGUGCUAAGUGU
rnacentral:rRNA from 1 species